ACUCUGCUUAACCAAAGGCUUUGUCUCUCACGUGGAUUUUUCACAUUCCAAGCUUUCUUCCAUGGAGGUUGAGUCAGUAGAGCUGGAUCCUAAUGGGGAUUGUAUCAAAGAUACAUACAUUGAGAAUUUGAGUUGUCCCGGCUCUCCUGAUACAAACAAUAUAUUUGGAGAACCAUUGCUGAAUCCUCGGGUUGGA